UACGGGGGGAGCAAGCGUUGUUCGGAUUUACUGGGCGUAAAGGGCGCGUAGGCGGCCACCGCAAGUCGACUGUGAAAUCUCCGGGCUUAACCCGGAAAGGUCAGCCGAUACUGCGGGGCUAGAGUGCAGAAGGGGCAACUGGAAUUCUCGGUGUAGCGGUGAAAUGCGUAGAUAUCGAGAGGGACACCUGCGGCGAAGGCGGGUUGCUGGGCUGACACUGACGCUGAAGCGCGAAAGCUAGGGGAGCGAACGGG
rnacentral:rRNA from 1 species